UGGAAGGGACGCAUUUAUUAG
rnacentral:siRNA from 1 species